CCAAUAGCGUAUAUUAAAGUUGUUGCAGUUAAAAAGCUCGUAGUUGAAUUUCGAGAUCAGUACGCUGGUCGUGCCUUCGGUAUGUACUGGUGUCACUGGUUUCUCCCUUCUGAAGAACCGUUAUGUCAUUAAGUUGGUGUGGCGGGGAAUCAGGACUGUUACUUUGAAAAAAUUAGAGUGUUUAAAGCAGGCUCGCGCUUGAAUACAUUAGCAUGGAAUAAUGAAAUAGGACGUUUGACCCUAUUUUGUUGGUUUCUAGGAUCGACGUAAUGAUUAAUAGGGAUAGUUGGGGGCAUUAGUAUUCAAUUGUCAGAGGUGAAAUUCUUGGAUUUAUUGAAGACUAACUACUGCGAAAGCAUUUGCCAAGGAUGUUUUCAUUAAUCAAGAACGAAAGUUAGGGGAUCGAAGACGAUCAGAUACCGUCGUAUUCUUAACCAUAAACUAUGCCGACUAGGGAUCGGAUGAUGUUGAUUUUUUAAUGACUCAUUCGGCGCCUUACG
rnacentral:rRNA from 1 species